AGCGGUGGAUGAUGUGGAUUAAUUCGAUGCAACGCGAAAAACCUUACCUACCCUUGACAUGUCUGGAAUUCCGAAGAGAUUUGGAAGUGCUCGCAAGAGAACCGGAACACAGGUGCUGCAUGGCUGUCGUCAGCUCGUGUCGUGAGAUGUUGGGUUAAGUCCCGCAACGAGCGCAACCCUUGUCAUUAGUUGCUACGAAAGGGCACUCUAAUGAGACUGCCGGUGACAAACCGGAGGAAGGUGGGGAUGACGUCAAGUCCUCAUGGCCCUUAUGGGUAGGGCUUCACACGUCAUACAAUGGUCGGGACAGAGGGUCGCCAACCCGCGAGGGGGAGCCAAUCCCAGAAACCCGAUCGUAGUCCGGAUCGCAGUCUGCAACUCGACUGCGUGAAGUCGGAAUCGCUAGUAAUCGCGGAUCAGCAUGUCGCGGUGAAUACGUUCCCGGGUCUUGUACACACCGCCCGUCACACCAUGGGAGUGGGUUUUACCAGAAGUAGUUAGCCUAACCGUAAGGGGGGCGAUUACCACGGUAGGAUUCAUGACUGGGGUG
rnacentral:rRNA from 1 species